rnacentral:rRNA from 1 species
CCUACGGGGGGCUGCAGUGAGGAAUAUUGGUCAAUGGGCGCAAGCCUGAACCAGCCACGUCGCGUGAAGGAAGACGGCCCUACGGGUUGUAAACUUCUUUUGCAAGGGAAUAAAGUUGGCCACGCGUGGCCUUUUGCAUGUACCUUGCGAAUAAGGAUCGGCUAACUCCGUGCCAGCAGCCGCGGUAAUACGGAGGAUCCGAGCGUUAUCCGGAUUUAUUGGGUUUAAAGGGUGCUCAGGCGGGGGAUUAAGUCGGCGGUGAAAUUUUGCGGCUCAACCGUAAAAGUGCCUUCGAAACUGGUUUCCUUGAGUGUGGAUGAGGUAGGCGGAAUUUGUGGUGUAGCGGUGAAAUGCAUAGAUAUCACGAGGAACUCCGAUUGCGCAGGCAGCUUACUAAGCCAUAACUGACGCUCAAGCACGAAGGCGUGGGGAUCAAACAGGAUUAGAUACCCUUGUAGUC